rnacentral:rRNA from 1 species
GAUGAACGCUAGCGGCAGGCUUAAUACAUGCAAGUCGAGGGGCAGCAUAGUGUAGCAAUACAUGGGUGGCGACCGGCAAACGGGUGCGGAACACGUACAGAACCUUCCUUCGAGCGGGGAAUAGCCCAGAGAAAUUUGGAUUAAUACCCCAUAGGAUAGUGGAGUGGCAUCACUCAGCUAUUAAAGAUUUAUCACUUGAAGAUGGCUGUGCGUCUGAUUAGGUAGUUGGUGGGGUAACGGACCACCAAGCCAGCGAUCAGUAAUUGGUGUGACAGCACGACCAGUCACACUGGCACUGGUUCACUGGCCCGACUCCAACGGGAGGCAGCUGUAAGGAAUAUUGGUCGAUUGACGUAAGUCUGAACCAGCCAUGCCGCUUGUAGGAUGAAGGUCCUCUGGAUUGUAAACUUCUUUUAUCUGGGACGAAAAAAGGCCUUUCCAGGUCGUCUGACGGUACCAGAUGAAUAAGCACCGGCUAACUCCGUGCCAGCCGCCGCGGUAA